UUAAUAGCAUUAUAAAAGAUAUUAAUUUUUUGCCAUUAGAUCUUAUUUAAUGAUUGAAAAUAAAAUUAUCUGUUACUUUUUAUGACAAUAUUACCCUCGCAUUUAUAUCCUAUUUUCUAUCUACGCGUUUCUCAAAUAUUUUCCUUCUCACGCGUAAUAUCCGCACCAGUCAAUUCUUUCACAACGUAAUAUCCGUGAAUUUCUCAAAUAUCUCAUUAAUCCACCUAUCAUUAUAGUAAAUAGAAUAGAUACGAUGACAUGUAGCAAGCAUAUAGAAAGCCACGUAUCAGCUUCUGACAUAAAGUUCAUAAAGGGUUUUUCUUAAAAAAUCUAAUUUUAUUUUCCCUAAAGUAUUAUUUCCUUAAAAAAUCUAAUUUUAUUUUUCCUAAAGUAGAAAAUCUAUAUUUGAGUUUGACACGGAGAUUUUCUAUAUAGUAAAAGAUAUUAUUUUCUUAAAAAAUCUAUUUUUUUUUCUAAAAUAAAAAAUCUAUAUUUGAGCUUGACACGUGACAAACAUAUAGAGCGCCACGUGUCAACUUUUCACAUAGGGUUCAUUAAGGGUUCUACUUUAGUAUAUAGUAAUAGAUUAGUAAUAAAUUAGUAAUAUAUAGCAUUAAAAAUUCAUGUCUGCGAUGGACCCAUAGAGCCUGCUAUCCACUAUCCACCGUGAAGACCCCUUAACUGCUACGUGCCUGGCGGCGCGCCAUUUAGAAUAUUGGUUUUAAUUGCUUUUUUCAACUUUUUUCCAACUACUAUAUGAUUAGCUUCUCAUUCGUUUUUUAUCCAGUAUAUUGUCCCACUGAUGAACAAUGGUUCUAAGAAGAAUUCUUAUCUUCUUUGGAGUAUUAUAAUUAUUAUGCUAAUUUUCAAAUAGGAUAUGCUGGUUAAUAUGAAUCAAAUUAAAAUUGUGGGCCUUUUACAUAAUUUGGUUGUUUAUUGUAGACUUUGGUGCUUAAUGGGCCCCAUUUUCUAGGCCUUACAUCUCUGUCAAUCCUUAUGAACUAUAUUAGUAUAGUCACCUACCAGUACUUUCCCAACUUCUACGCCUUUCCUGAUUUUAUCUUUCCUAUUGUGACUUUGUUUUGUUUUGUGAGAUAACGGGGGGCUAUUUAACCAACCAGCUUUCUUUUCCUGCAAGGUUUUGGAUGUUGAUGAAAUUACAUGGGAUUUGUUGUCCCUGCUUCUCACCUUCACCUGUGCCUAGAUUAGUCGCCUCUUCUUUUCUCUUCUAGCCAUGGAUUGACACUAUUUUCCUUUCUCUCUUACUCUCUAUUCAACAUAGUCUGCCCUUGUCUCUCAGGCUGCUGUAAUUGCAAACCCUUUUCGCCAUCCCGAUCUGCUGCCAUGCUUUCUUUCAUCUUUUUUCUAUCCCCCGCCACAAGUAGUAUUUUCUCCUCCCAGCAUGCCAGUGCUGCUCUAACAGUUCCU
rnacentral:lncRNA from 1 species